CAGCACCUCAAGUGGUCAGGAUGAUUAUUGGGCCUAAAGCAUCCGUAGCCGGCGCUGUAAGUUUUCGGUUAAAUCUGUACGCUCAACGUACAGGCUGCCGGGAAUACUGCAGCGCUAGGGAGUGGGAGAGGUAGACGGUACUCGGUAGGAAGGGGUAAAAUCCUUUGAUCUAUUGACGACCACCUGUGGCGAAGGCGGUCUACCAGAACACGUCCGACGGUGAGGGAUGAAAGCUGGGGGAGCAAACCGGAUUAGAUACCCGAGUAGUCC
rnacentral:rRNA from 1 species